GAAUCAGAAGAAUCCAGGAAUGUGGUUGAUGGUAACCAAAACAGGGAAUCCAGUUGUGUGCGCUCCCUGCACUUCUGAAGCCAGUCUAUUUCUUGCUGUGCUUUUGACACUGUGGUCAGUCCUGGGACAGAUGGAAGAGGCUACUUUGUUGGAGCUUCUACUGGUCAAGGAACUCAGAUGAGUCUAAGACCCACUCCAAAUAUUCUUGUCUGAAUUCUCUUUCCCACCUCAGAAUAUCUAAGCCAUUUUUUUUAAAUCAAUUUGUUCCAGAACAAGCUGGAUUCACGUCCCCAAGACAGAGAACAGCCCUGGACUGGUGCAGAUAAGAUCAUCCACAGCCAGCAGCCCCUUGGCAAGCCUGAGCUGAGUUCCAACCCCAACCCAAGGGUUUUGGAUGGAAGUGAGUCAACUUCAGGAAUUCGGUGAAUUCUACAUUUAGCCCCAAGUUAGUCACCAUGGCAAAUAGCAGGACAAGCUGGGCUCUUGCUCCACCUCCCCUUCAGCUACAACAAAGUGACCAAUGGAAACAGGAGCCUGGAGAAGGAGCAAGCCAGCUUGAGUUAAGCAGGAGCCCUGGGACCAGGCAAACCCCCAAUACCACUUUAAGGCCUGGCCUUCUUUAGUGCUACUGAGGCAAAACGCCGUAUGCUUUCUUGGAAGUCUUUCUUAGCUGUAGCUUAAAAAAUAAUAGUUCUGAAGUAGGAGUGAAAGAAUCAUGAGAUGAAAGGAUCCACAAUUUAAUGUACUUCAAGAAAUCCACAAUUCAACAGAAAGAAUAUCAUUUAUAUGACUUGGAGGAAAAUAACUUUCCAGUCUCUAAAGUGUAGUUCAUGUCAACUAAAACUUCUAUAGCUAAGGCAAGCCAGUCAGCAAACAAAUGUAUUCUUCUACUGAAAAAAAAUUGUUUAAUAGCGCUUACUUUGUGGAUUAGAAAAUUUUUGCAUAUCUUUCCAUCUAAAUUCAAAAGUUACAACAGAGCAUAUAGCAAAACUCUCCCUCCUUCCAACCCAUCCCCCCAGCCACUCAAUUCCUCUUCAACUCACAGAGAUGCUGAGACGGCUGCCAACAAAUAUGUGACUUAUGGGUGCCACCAACUGUACCUCGGGGGGGUGGGCAGAUGGAUGGAUACUUCAUGCUGGCUCGAACCCCAGGCCAAAAUCUCUCUUUCUGUGUGGUGGCAUGUAUCUUCAUGGCCCCAGAGUUCUGUUGACAAAGUGGAGCAGUGGUUUCACAUUUUACAGUGUUUCUAUUCCUCAAGUCCUUGUGGAAGUUUCACUCUGUUCUACCAGUUUAUCAGUUCAAGUCCUGGGUAACUACAGGCGUGUAUGUACAGCGGUGGCUAGGAGAGGGGGCACCCUGUGGCAUCAAAGUGCUCAUGGAUUACUCAGGAAAAAGCACUGCUGCCUUCACUUUCCCUGCUUGCCUUUGGUCUCCCUCUCCCAGUUGUCCUUUGGCAGAGGUGCAGAAUGCUGAUGAGGUGCCUCUUGGACUCCUUCCAGAAGAGUCUCCAAUUAAGGCAAUUAAGUGAGAGCUGGAGGACACUUUGUGGGCCAUGCACUGGUGCCAAGAGUAUACUGAGUCAAGAGGCCAAGACUCAGCUAUGCUACUGAUGGAGCCUGAGGAGAGGGGGUGUCUCACUGAAACCAAAAUAGGGAGAAAUCACCCUUCCUUUUAUAAAACACUGCAGGAUGUCCAAAAUAGUGCACAACAAGGAUAAUGUAUUUUGCAGUAUCAACUCCAUUUCCUGUUUGCUAAGAUGAAUUUGGCAGGAACCACAUCACUGACAGACAAAUCGUGGUAAAAUAUGUUUUAAAAGAAAAACUUAAAAAAUAAAUAUUAUGGGGAGACCA
rnacentral:lncRNA from 1 species